rnacentral:SRP_RNA from 1 species
GCCAGGUGUGGUGGUGAACACCUGUAAUCCCAGCUACUCGGGAGGCUGAGACAUGAGACUCACUUGAAUCCAGGAGAUGGAGGUUGCAGUGAGCCAAGAUUGCACCACUGCACUCCAGCCUGGGUGACAGAGUAAGACUUUGUCUCCU